rnacentral:rRNA from 1 species
AGAUUGAACGCUGGCGGCAGGCCUAACACAUGCAAGUCGAGCGGUAGAGAGGUGCUUGCACCUCUUGAGAGCGGCGGACGGGUGAGUAAUGCCUAGGAAUCUGCCUAGUGGUGGGGGAUAACGUUCGGAAACGGACGCUAAUACCGCAUACGUCCUACGGGAGAAAGGCGGGGGACCUUCGGGCCUCGCGCCAUUAGAUGAGCCUAGGUCGGAUUAGCUUA